UACGUAGGGUGCAAGCGUUAAUCGGAAUUACUGGGCGUAAAGCGUGCGCAGGCGGUUGUGCAAGACAGAUGUGAAAUCCCCGGGCUCAACCUGGGAACUGCAUUUGUGACUGCACGGCUAGAGUGUGUCAGAGGGGGGUAGAAUUCCACGUGUAGCAGUGAAAUGCGUAGAUAUGUGGAGGAAUACCGAUGGCGAAGGCGGGUCUCUGGGCCGUAACUGACGCUGAGGAGCGAAAGCAUGGGGAGCGAACAGG
rnacentral:rRNA from 1 species